CAGUGAUAAACUGGAGGAAGGUGGGGAUGACGUCAAGUCAUCAUGGCCCUUACGAGUAGGGCUACACACGUGCUACAAUGGCAUAUACAAAGAGAAGCGACCUCGCGAGAGCAAGCGGACCUCAUAAAGUAUGUCGUAGUCCGGAUUGGAGUCUGCAACUCGACUCCAUGAAGUCGGAAUCGCUAGUAAUCGUAGAUCAGAAUGCUACGGUGAAUACGUUCCCGGGCCUUGUACACACCGCCCGUCACACCAUGGGAGUGGGUUGCAAAAGAAGUAGGUAGCUUAACCUUCGGGAGGGCGCUU
rnacentral:rRNA from 1 species